GGCUCCUUGUAGAAAUUAAAUAAGGAGUCGGACCUGCCCAGUGAGUAUUUAAACGGCCGCGGUACUCUGACCGUGCAAAGGUAGCAUAAUCAUUUGCCUUAUAAUUGAAGGCUAGUAUGAAUGGUUUGACAAGAGCGUAGCUGUCUCUUUUUAAUUUUAUAGGAUUUUAUAUGGAGGUGAAAGAGCCUUUAUUUAAUUAAAAGACAAGAAGACCCUAUCGAGCUUAAAAGUAACAAGUAGAAUUAGAUAUCUUGAUAGUAUUAUACAGAUAUCUGCUAGGAAUUUUAGUUGGGGCAACUGAGGAACAUGAAAAGCUUCCUUUAACAAAUUUAAAUAAUUGCAAUUAUUGGAUCCAAAAGCUUUUGAUUAAAGGAAUUAGUUACCGUAGGGAUAACAGCUUAAUCUCUUUUGAGAGUUCUUAUCGAAAAGGAGGUUUGUGACCUCGAUGUUGGAUCAUAAUAGCCUGAAGAUGCAGGAGUCUUUGAGGUUGGUCCGUUCGACCAUUAAAAUUUUAC
rnacentral:rRNA from 1 species